rnacentral:rRNA from 1 species
CCUACGGGUGGCAGCAGUGAGGAAUUUUGGUCAAUGGGCGCGAGCCUGAACCAGCCAAGUCGCGUGAGGGAUGAAGGUUCUAUGGAUCUUAAACCUCUUUUAUAAGGGAAUAAAGUGUGGGACGUGUCCUAUUUUGUAUGUACCUUAUGAAUAAGGAUCGGCUAACUCCGUGCCAGCAGCCGCGGUAAUACGGUGGAUACGAGCGUUGUCCGGAUUUAUUGGGUUUAAAGGGUGCGUAGGCGGCUUAAUAAGUCAGCUGUGAAAGUCUGUGGCUCAACCAUAGAAUUGCCGUUGAAACUGGGGAGCUUGAGUAUGUUUGAGGAAGGCGGAAUGCGUGGUGUAGCGGUGAAAUGCUUAGAUAUAACGCAGAACCCCGAUUGCGAAGGCAGCCUGCCAAGCCAUGACUGACGCUGAGGCACGAAAGCGUGGGGAUCAAACAGGAUUAGAUACCCCAGUAGUC